rnacentral:rRNA from 1 species
UACGAAGGGGGCUAGCGUUGCUCGGAAUGACUGGGCGUAAAGGGCGCGUAGGCGGCUCAUACAGUCAGGCGUGAAAUUCCUGGGCUCAACCUGGGGACUGCGCUUGAGACGUGUGGGCUUGAGUGGGGAAGAGGGUCGUGGAAUUCCCAGUGUAGAGGUGAAAAUUCGUAGAUAUUGGGAAGAACACCGGUGGCGAAGGCGGCGACCUGGUCCUUGACUGACGCUGAGGCGCGAAAGCGUGGGGAGCAAACAGG